rnacentral:rRNA from 1 species
UACGUAGGGGGCAAGCGUUGUCCGGAAUCAUUGGGCGUAAAGAGCGUGUAGGCGGUCCUGUAAGUCCGCUGUGAAAGUCAAGGGCUCAACCCUUGAAUGCCGGUGGAUACUGCAGGACUAGAGUCCGGAAGAGGCGAGUGGAAUUCCUGGUGUAGCGGUGGAAUGCGCAGAUAUCAGGAGGAACACCGAUGGCGAAGGCAGCUCGCUGGGACGGUACUGACGCUGAGGCGCGAAAGCGUGGGGAGCGAACAGG